GGGGGAGUAGCUCAGUUGGUUAGAGCGUCGGCCUGUCACGCCGAAGGUCGCGGGUUCGAGCCCCGUCUCUCUCGCCA
rnacentral:tRNA from 1 species